rnacentral:rRNA from 1 species
AUGGCGCCUGUGCCCCUCGAGGUGGGACACGCUGCUGUCUCCCUUGCCAACUCUGCCCUCGGGCUCACCUUGUUCGACGACUCAUCUCACAGUAUUUACUUGGCCCAUCCCCACAAUAAGUGUUCCGUCGUCCACGAGGUUCCGCAAGCAGCUUAUGUUUUCUUCCGUAAUGCGGUCGUGGGCGGUGUCUACUCCGACACUAUAGGGCAUGCCCAGAUUGCUCGUUUAUGCAGAUCGUUGAUGCCUCCAGAUGAAAAGGACCUUUGUUUUCCAAUAGCUUUGGGCAGAGAAAUGUUGCUUGCCGGGACUGCAGAGGGAUCAUUCUUUAUGUUUAACACAUACAUUGAAUUAGGUAAGCUGGAGGAUGUGGACACCAUCAACAACUAUGCCAUUUUCAUUGGUCAUCAGAGGUGCCUGGCUGUCAAUGCUGAUAAGUUCAUAGGCAUCGAGGCAAACUACAUCUACUUCAUUGAAAAUCAUGGUUCGUCCGCUCAUAUCUACAAGUGCGACAUCAGGGACAGAAAAGUAGAGAAGAUCUCUAAAACUGUUGAUUUCAUCAAGGACUAG